CUGACUUGAUGUGGAUUAAUUAGUAGAUUCUACUCACUUUUCGUAAUUUGCACUUAUUUCAGGGAGUAGAGCGAAAAUAUGAUAACAGGUGCACAUUUGACAGAAAAAGAGUCCCGAUGAUAGAGAUUGUCCCAGGGAUACUUUUGGAAAAGAAGAUGUUAAGCCCAUUUUGGUAAAUUCCGCAAGGAAAUGACGGCUGAAGGGCUUCACUCUGCUGAGGUGCCGCCGGCAAUUAAAAGGAGGGGGAGAAAGCAAUGGGUGGCUGGCUUUUAUUCUUAGCUUUUUCGUCUGUAGCUGAGGAUGAAUUGUUGACUUUUCCUAGAGAUUUUCUUUUGGCUUCUCUUACGCAUGGCAAGAGAGCUUAGCUUUAGUGUUUUAACCUUUUCUUGUUAGCUAUUUGUGGCUUUUGUCUCCACGCAUGUCAGGAGCAAAGAAUUGGAGCCUACUUUCUUUGACUUUUCCUUCUUGUACCUUUCGAGUGGCUUUGCUCUACGGAAGUUAGGAACAAUGAAGAGCUUCAAUUGUUACCUGUGACUUUCAUUUUGCUCUCUAAUUGUUCGACGAAGUGCGGCUCUUGAAAUGCAGACAAUGGCCGUGAUUUUUGCUGAAAUUUUCCGCGGACGUAGUUCAUCAACUAUGAACUAAUUUCCUCAUUCUAAUCAAGAAACGACGGAUGCUUUGGGUUGCCUAAAAAUUGUGAGAUUGUUUUAAUUUAAUCUUUCCCUUUUAUUUAUCGGUAUUCGCAUAUUCCUUGUUUGCUAU
rnacentral:lncRNA from 1 species